UUCUUGUUGGAACACACUCCUUGCAAGACCUCGCGUGUAUAAAAAGUAAAUUAUUUAUAUUCGCCGUUGAAUUGAAUAUUUGGGAUUAGUUAGUAGUAUAUGUUGAUUGUUCGCAACACAUAUUAGUCCGAAAUAGGCAUUUGAAGGCGAGAAAUUCAUAAGGGAAAAUUCUAGGCUACUAGAAACUUCUGCACAACCCAGCACGUGUUAAUCCGCACUGCAAAUCCAUGUUGCUCGCUUUCCACCUCUGCCUAUUUGAAGACAUUUUUAUUUAAUAACUUUAUUGAACAUAGAAGAAUUGUACAGGGCAAAUUGUAAAUAGUUCUCUGCGCAUGAUGCGUAACAUUGGUAUACUGUCAAGAAGUUUCUAUAACGACACAAUCAAACUAAUUGGGAUGACGUAGGAUAUAUUAACACAGCAUAUGUUGAGAGCACGAGAUUCACUGCCUUUUCAAUUAUGUUUAACGACAGCAGUAACGAUGCCUUGUCUAACCUGUAGAAGUUAAGUUGUCAAUGAUAACGUGUCCAUUCAGGUAACUAAGGAUAAUUUAGAGAGGGCUAUUAAAAAUGUAACAUAAAUUGUGAAACGUAACGCGGACAAAUGUAAGUAUGGCAGUAAGUAUGUAAAAUGCUCUUUUGUUACAAAUACUGUAGUUUCAAUAAAAACCCAUUAUCUCAGUAGUAAGGAAAUAAGUUUUCGGUUAAGCUAGCACCUGAAUAUGAUGAUAUUUAUAGAAUUAUGGUAUGUUUCUUAUCUACCGUAACUUAUAUUGUGUAGCAUACUACAAAUUUGAAUAAUGGGAGGGAUACAGGUAGUUAAACAUUUAACUAGUUGAACUCUAGAAUAAAAAAAACAUUUUAUGAAUACCAGUUGUAUUUAAAAUAAAAGAAUGGAAAUUUUUGUGAAAUGUAAAUAGUUAUAAAUGUAAAAUAUUGUUGGGAGUCAUAUGUGUCAAUUGUAAUUUUAAAUGUUUUGCAAUAAUAUUAGAGUAUUAAAAUAUUGAGAAUUAAGAUACUGAAACAGGCAGAUCGUUUUGUGAACAAUGUAUGUAUAUGGCGUUUAUUGUACUUGAUUACGAGAAGGGACAGUGUGGUCAGGAAAAGUCUGUCUACACAGGAAAGGUUCCUGCCUGAAGGUUAAUGAGGGUAUCGGAACGAUAAGAUCUGAAGAUCAAUAUCAUAAUGAUAAGAACUUAUCGUAAUUAGCGUGGACGUUCUACUAGAAGACCGGCCGGUGACAAUAAUAAUUUGCCUUUGUUAAUUUAUAUUCACAUUUCAAAAUACAAGGAAAGCGUUACAUAUUCUAACAUAUGUAACGCUUUCGGCAUCUACACGACCAAAUAAUAUUGUACUCUGAUGUAUUAAUGGAUGGCAGUCAUAGCCUAUGAAUAUGUAACUGACUUUGAACUCUAUUCUGUUAACAGCUGUAAUAAAUUAAAAUAAUAACUUUUGUAUAAUUAAUUUUUUUUAACUGAAAUUCCACGAAAAGUGAGCACGCCUUCUUGAGCUGUGCUCCACAGUCGUUUAGGGCACAUAGUGAACGACCGAUGCCCGCAACCAAACUUAUAAAGAAUAGACAUAAAUUAAAUCUCUUUGUAUUCUUUGACAGUAAACAGAACUUUAUGUGUAACUAAGCAUUAUUAGUGGAAAGAAAUGAAAUGAUUGUAAUUUUGAAAUGUGAAAAUAACACCUCGCUUUCUAUUUAAAUGUUAAUAACUAUUAUGUUUGCAUUUUGAAAUAUUAAGAAAAAUUUAUUUUCAAUUAACUACCAAUUUGCUAUAAUGAAUGGUAAUUUUUUCUUGUAAAACACUAUCGGGUAGGGACGGAGGAAAAUACUUUUAGUACAGUGUUUUUCAACUUGAUAUUAUUAUUAUUAUUAUUACGGGUGCCAAUCAACUUUUGAGACUUGAAAGAUGGAAACCGCUUUAAUUUUAUUUCGGUUUUACUUUGUAAUUCAACUUAAUUUCAAUGGUUAGACACGAGAGGAGUUACUGUAAUAAUAACAUUAAUGUUAUAUCUGAGGUAGUACUGUGGUUUUACGAUUUACAAAUGGGUGUUGUAACUAAAACUUAAAAACGUUUAGUUCGUUUUAAUCUCUUAGGAAACAUAAAAGGGCCGGAAACAUGAAUGUGUUUACAUUAGAAUUUGGUUUUAACCUAUUGUAAAACUUGGAAAAGUGAAUAGCGUUCAGUAACACUGAAAGCAAUAUUGAUAAACACACACAGCAGAGCUAAGUUUUCACUACGCAAUAUCUCAGCAAGAAAUGAACUUGAUCGUUACAAUAACGGCAGCCUAGUAACAUUUAUUCAGUACUCACAAUAUACUUACUUAUAUGAUAUGGUAUCAAAGCCACUUCAAGAAUACCGGAGAUACUUUUACAUGGGAUAAAAUAGUAUUAUAUUGUGAUAUAAUAACAUAGAUAAAAACAUACUCCUAUCUAUUGGAAGUUUGCUUUUAUAUAUGAUAAUAGCUAUAACAAGUCCUUUUUGUUAAUUUAAUUUAUUUUUACUAUGCUUCAAAUAACCUAAUUGGACUUUUAUUUUUCAGGUUGAGAUAAAAUAACUCUUACCACCAUAAAUUGUAGCACUUACGAGGAAUAUCAAUAUAACUUUGUAGAAAAUAUAUGUAAAUUAAUUUUUUAUAUGUGUCUAUAUUAUACAUGUUACUAACGCGGUUUGUCAAGCGAUAACUGUCCUACAAAAAUCCGAAACAAAUGGAAACUGUUAGAACAAAUUGAUCUUACACAUGUCUCAGAUAAGUUUGUUGGCCAGCUCGAUACACCUCUUCGUUUCAAUAUGGCAGCCGUUCAAAUAAAAAAAUAUCACAACUCCGUUAUUUAUUUAUUACUUUAGAGAAAAAAGUGAAAAGUGUUUUAGAAUACGUUUCCUACUUUUUUAGGUACACAGAUUAUUUACUGUUAUCAAGAUAUCGCUUACAUCAAACCCUUAUUUUUUCGAUUACCAAGAACUGACAAAAGAAAUACUGGAAUAAAACGUAUUCUAAAACUGGAAUAAGUACACAAUUAGAAAAAUAUUACAGCUCCGUUUCUAAAGGGCCUAAAGAAAAAUUUGUUUUCAAAUAUAGUUCGAAUUCUGUAUUUCUAAAAUAAACCAUUUAAGAGUUUUAGUUGUCACAAAAUCUACCUACUUCUUUCGACUGAGCCAGAAGAGAUAUCAUAACAUAUGAUAAAUUUUUAAUAACUUAUUUCAUAACUUUAAUAACUUAUUUCAUAACUAGUAUUACUGAGUACGUAAUAACAAUAUUUUAUCUUGUAAUUUCAAUGUGUUUUUGUAUAUUUAUUGUUUGCAUUGUAGUUACAACAGCUAUAACAGUUUGGCUCAAAGUGUGGACAGGCUGCAACACACUUCAUGAAAGACCAGCAGCUGAGGUAAAGACACAUACUUAUGUGUCAUAAGUAUUGUCAUAACAUUCGUUUCCUUCAUGAAAUUAUGAAGUUUUAUUCACUUUCAUGAGGCUAAAGAUACUGUACAAUUUUUUUAAUCCAGUUAUUUUUAAACCAAUCUCUUUGUAGUACUUCCAAAUCUACUGUAUUCUACCACGGAUCACAUUAAUAGGCUAUACAUUAUAUACAGUCCACAUGAACAUAAGAGCCCUCCUUUUGAACACUACAUGAUAAGAUAAUUUAUAACCACAAUCAUAACCACUAAUGGUUUGGUGGUAUUAAAUCAUAAAAAUAAAAAGGCCCGUAGAAAUUACGCGCAUGGAGAACGUCAGUAUCAUCACGGCAAAAGUGGUAGGUUUAUUACUGGGAUUGCAUCUACUGCUAAUAAAUUUACUGCUGUUGAGAAGAAAUCGUUCAUAUUUGUAUCCAGGUUAGUUGAUAACAUUGAGUGUGACGACAUUCAGGGAUAUUUAAAUGACAGUACCAAAGCCAACUUUAACGUUUCCAGCAUUAAAACCAAGUACAAUGGGUACAAAUCGUAUAAAGCGGUGUACCUGUCUCAGUAUAGGAUCAAGUUUACUCUCCGGACUUUUGGCCCACUGGGGUGUAUGUUGCUCGUUUCCGUGUUAACAGAAACACCCAGCGAACCCGUCGAGGUGAAAAUGAUUUUUUGGACAAUCGCAGUUCUCUAUUGAAAACCCCUUAGUAUCUACAAGACUAAUUGUUGGCCAGGACUGUGGUAUGCCCCCAGUGGCAAGUAGUUGCAAUUUGCAAAUGUCUUUAUGGAAUGUACUGUGAAUCAGCUUAACUGUAAUGUUGUAUGUGUUGUUGAGCAUUGGUUGUCUCAUAAUGAGAUAGUUAACCUUAAUAUUCCUGGUUAGUGUUGGAUAAAGUUACGAGAUAACUUUAAAAGCUCAUGGUGGGUCUGUUAUUUAUAUAAAAAAUAACAUUAGCUUCAAAGUGUACGAGAAAAUAACCUGCUUAAGUGAAGAGGUUACUUUUGAAGUGUCUGCUGUCCUGCUUUGUGACAUGCAAACUGUUAUUGUAUGUUUAUAUAUAUUGUAUGUCACUGGAUGUUUUGCAGUGCUUAUUGAAAAACUCUUUUCUCUAGUUCUUAUGGUGCCACCUCAGUAUAGUCUUAACCGCAGAUUUUAAUGUGAAUUUCCUGUCAAUUCAUCAGGAGACAAGAGAACUUUACGAUGUGAUUGACAGUUUUGGGCUUUAUGUAGCAACCAAUACAAUUACAAGGCUAAGUAGUACCGGAUCAGGCGGAACUUGUGUUGUCAACAUCUUGACAUCCAUCCAUCCCGUUAGGUGGAAUGCGUACAUACACCAUACUGCAUCCUCUGAUCACAAUGCUAUUGUCCUCAAAGCUGCAAUCAAUUGUGAUGCUUGAGAACCAUAAAACACUGUAAAGAAAAUAUCUAGGCCUAUAAAUAGCCACAUUUCCUCUUUGUUUAGUUUUACCUUAGCCAAAUAGAUUGGUCAGAUGUCUUUAAUGUAAAUAGUGUAAAUAUCCAUACUGACGUAGAAUGUAAGUUCAAAACCUGUUUAAUGUGGGCUGUUGAUGCCUCAAUGCCUGUUAAAACUGUUGUUUGUAGAGGGUAAAAGACGGAAAAUCAGUGGUAACAUAAUGGCUUAACCAUACGUAAACUAGAACUGGAUAAAUUGUACCAGAUACUUCAGAAUUCUAAUGCUGACUUGCCCGAACUCAGUAAUAAGUAUAAAUUACUGAAGAAGGAGUAUAAAAAUUAGAUUCGCUUAGCUAAGAUUAGGUAUAAUAAUGACGUUAUCAGUAAGUCUUCUAACAAAUCUAGGGAAUCUGGAAUCUUAUAAAUAAAAGCAUGAAACCUAAUUGUAAACCUGUACUGAGCCAGCGUUCCCAUAGUUUGGAUGCAGAAGAGAUUAAUAAAUAUUUUAUCAACUGUAUAGAUGAAUUAAGUUCCAAUAUUGCUAAUAACAAUAACAAUAGUGAUUUUUAUUUAAAGAAACGAAUAACUCACUCGCAAAAUUAUUUUAGUUUUAAGAAAUUAUCUGUCGAUUAUGUAUAUAAUGCUAUCAGUAGAUUUAAAAAUAGUAAGUGUUUAGAUAUUUAUGGUCUCAAUGCCCUAUAAUUAAGUUAGCCUCUAACAACAUUGCUGUUGUGCUAACCUACUUGUUAAUCUGUGUAUUGUCAACAAAUUAUUUUCCAAACUAUUUAAAUUAAAUAAGGUGGUUCCUGUACAUAAGAAAGGCCCAACGGAUUCUUAUGUUAAUUAUAGACCUAUCUCCAUAAUUCCUGUAAUAGCUAAGGUUUUUGAAAUGUUACUUCACAAGCAAAUUGUACAUUAUAUGGAAGAAAAUCGUGUGUUUUCAAAGAGGCAGUUUGAUUUUAUAAAAAAACCGAAGCCCCAUUGAUGCUGUUCAGGAUUUUGUAAAUAAUUGUCUUGUAAACAUUGAAGCUAAGAAUAGUGUUAUUUUUAGAUCUUUUGAUCUGUCAAAA